UAGGAAGUCUCACCACAUGGGCAAUUCUUUUGGUCAAAGAAAACAGCAAGCUAAUUUAUAGGAAACAACUAAUCGGAAGGACAUGUGUGGCUGAGUUUUAAUUUUCAACCCAUUUCCUUUGCUGGAGAGAGAAGCCUAGGAACUCAAUCACUGGAUCUCGCAGCAAAAAGCUGGAGUAAUUCAGCGGGACAGGCAGCAUCUCUGGAGAGAAGGAAUGGUUGACGUUUCAG